UACAGAGGGUGCGAGCGUUAAUCGGAAUUACUGGGCGUAAAGCGCGCGUAGGCGGCUUGUCGCGUCGACUGUGAAAUCCCGCGGCUCAACUGCGGGUCUGCAGUCGAUACGGGCAGGCUAGAGUUCGGUAGGGGAGACUGGAAUUCCUGGUGUAGCGGUGAAAUGCGCAGAUAUCAGGAGGAACACCGAUGGCGAAGGCAGGUCUCUGGGCCGAUACUGACGUGAGGGAGCGAAAAGCGUGGGGGAGCGAAACAGG
rnacentral:rRNA from 1 species